rnacentral:rRNA from 1 species
UGGGGAAUAUUGGACAAUGGGGGCAACCCUGAUCCAGCCAUGCCGCGUGAGUGAUGAAGGCCUUCGGGUUGUAAAGCUCUUUUGGCGGGGACGAUGAUGACGGUACCCGCAGAAUAAGCCCCGGCUAACUUCGUGCCAGCAGCCGCGGUAAGACGAAGGGGGCAAGCGUUGUUCGGAAUUACUGGGCGUAAAGGGCGCGUAGGCGGUUUGCUUAGUCAGGCGUGAAAGCCCUGGGCUUAACCUGGGAUGUGCGCUUGAUACUGGCAGGCUUGAGUGUGGGAGAGGUUGGUAGAAUUCCCAGUGUAGAGGUGAAAUUCGUAGAUAUUGGGAAGAACACCGGUGGCGAAGGCGGCCAACUGGACCACAACUGACGCUGAGGCGCGAAAGCGUGGGGAGCAAACA